UAGGACUGCUUUCCUUGUGUCUCAUAA
rnacentral:misc_RNA from 1 species